GAAAUGAUCCUUUCCAGGUAACAGCCGAGAACAGGGGACUGCGGGACAUCUCCGCCUCUUCCUUGGCUCUGGGCCUUCGAUGUAAGGCGUUAGAGGACAAUCUUUGUUGGCUGGAUUUCUGUUCUUCCCCUAGAGAUAUCUGGUUCUUUGGAGGCCACUUGGGCAAUUGGGUUGACAAUCACUUACCUGAUACCUGCUCCCAAAACGAAUCCUAUUGAUGAAGGAUCUUCUUUCUGAGCAGUAAACCUGUGUUUAAUUAACCUUAUGCAAAUGAGCUUAAUUGCUUAUCAGUGGCUGUUGUCCAGAAGCACCUAGGGAUUCCUUCCCUCAGACAUUUUCAGCACCUAGAUGAACCGCAAAGUUGGAAGCCUUUCAUCUAGACAUGUGUUGUGUGCCUGUGGAGCCCUGGGCCCUGUGUUGAAGAUUGCAAGGAAAAGCAAGGUGUGACCCCUGCUGUGGACUUACUUUCAGUCUUAGGGCAACAGACACUUACAACCAAGAAUAACAAAGGGAGCCCUCGGAACAUCCUGGGACUCCAAGGCUCCGACCCCCAGCGCAAAGGACUCUAGGGACUGGCUUCCUGGCUGUACCGCGCAGCGGGACUCCUCGUCUGCACAGCUUCGGGGAGGCCCAGAGCACGCCCCUACUAGCCGGCUCCGUCCAAGGCCCACCAAGACAACCCGCCACGAAACUUCCCGGCCCCCUCAGCCCUGGCCGGUGGCGCGGGGCCUGCCGCCCGCCUUCUACGAGCCGCAUGGACGGAGGCCUGCGUGUUAUUUCAUAGAGGCCGAAACGGAGACCCAGGAAAGAUAAAAGAAGGGCUCAACCCGGGACCCCCACUAGCCAGCCGAGGGCGAGAAAUGAAAGCCAAGCCUGAAUGAUUCCCUGUGCCGUGAGCUCUCUGCCACUCCAUCCACACUCUCCUCCCUGCAAAAAGAGUGUUCUGCAAUUUGCAGCGUCGUCUGUAGCCCAAGCAGGAGGUGCGCUGUGGAAACUGAGGCCUCUGGGAGGCCUUGCCAACCGUGACCCGGACGUCGGACGCCCCAGCCGAGGCCCGGCGAGUCCUUAGCCCCUCUCGAACUAAAAUGGACCGAACAGAAAAUGCGGACCGGGCUCCCUCCUUUCGGGUAGCGGCGGGGCAGACGGGAGGCCGUCUGUGACCGAGCUCUCCAAGUCCCGCCUUCCUUUCCAAGCCUGCCCGGCGGAGACCCACCUUACUCCCUGAGACCUCCGCCCUGCCGCAGCGCUCCCAGGCCAGGCCGGCGGUGCCCGCGCCAUCUAAAGGGACAAUUCUGGUUGAACCUGGGAUUCCCGGCAGGGCGCCCUGUCUGUGAGCGCCCCGGAGGUAACUUCCCCGGUGUGGCAGGCGUGGAAAUGGGCAUGGAUGAACCCUCGGCGCCUUCGAGCGCUUGAGGAAAGAGGCCGGGACCGCUGCGCUAAGGACCGUGACGUAAUGCCCCUCCUCCAUCCCGGGCCCAAGGGAGGGUCCUAAACGCGGAGAGGGAGUGCCCUGUGGGGGAAAAUGAGUGUGUCUGGAGGGCACAGUGGAGAGGUUGAGUGCUCGCUGCUGCCCACUUGAGCAGGCCCGAUUCUGACCCUGGGAGCCCCAGAACCCGCGGGGCGGCUCCCACCCCCACCUGUUGCACGGUGUUCCGCCCGCCCCGCUUCGCCGGUGCACUCCCACCUCCGUAGCCCCAGAAGUGACAUCUUUUAUUAUUAUUAUUAUUAUUAUUAUUAUUAUUAUUAAAAACGAAAGUCACGGGUACAGGGUGGUCUCCCCAAACAGGCUCCAGGUGGUUGCCAUCUCGUGAGUCAGUUGUCGCCCUUUUAAAGUGCUGUUACAUCAAGAGGUUACAACAAAAAAUAGCCAAAGCAAAAUCCAAAGGGGAAUGCAAAAUGGGACUGGAAGUGGGUCCAGGAGAAGGAAGCAAAAAUAACUUACAGCAUAAAUAAAUUAAAGUGAACCUAAUACUG
rnacentral:lncRNA from 1 species